rnacentral:lncRNA from 1 species
AGUAAGCAGAGCCCGGGUGGGACUGACUGCUUUUGUAACAUCUCAGAAGGCAACCAGACGAUGUGGUGACGCUUGAAAAUCGAGCUCUUACAGGCCACCAGGAGGUUGGAGUGAAGUGGUGCAAUCUCAGCUCACUGCAACCUCUCCUGUGCUCAAGCUAUCCUCCCACCUCAGCCUCCCAAGUAGCUGCUCACCUUGGCCUCCUAAAGUGAUGGGAUUACAGAUGUGAGCCACUGCAUCCAGCCCUGAGUGGCCACCAGCUGAUGAUGAGAUUCACUGAUCCUCACAUCCUCUCCAAUUCUUGAGAUUAUCAUGGCUUAACUGAGAGAUAUUACAUGAUUAACAAACUCAUACUACCCUGGAACCAGCAUCAGUGCUACGGUGGAACCAAGAAUUCACUUCUGCCUCCAUUGUCACUGCCACCAGCAUCUGUCUACUCCCAAGAAACUAAAGGACAGGCACUGGACUGCUACUGCAGAAACACCCACAAUUCCACAGGCUUGCUUGCGUUUUAAUGUCCACCAACAGUGGAGUUGGCUUCCCGGCUGUGAAUAGAUUCAUGGAAGAUGAACAAAAACAAAUGAACAAAUCAAUGACAACAACAGCAACAUCUGUGCAUACUAUAGAAGCAGAUGUGUAAUUAUUUUGUACAUUGGCUUAAUACUGAGAAAGAGACUGAAUAAUUAUUGCACUUCUGGCAAGUCUAUAUAUACUGUCUCCUGACGAAGGACCCUCCAGCAACUUCGGGCUGAAAUGAAGCAGAUUCACUCAAUCCGCACAAACUCUCAGAAAAGUGCAUCUGGAAAAAAAAAAAAAAAGUGACAGGGACUGAGUCCCAGAGAUAUUCCCCAGGAACUCUCCCCAAUCUGUGGUGCAAUAUGUGGUCUGACACAGCUGGACACCAGGCAGCACUUGGCCACCAGCCCUUCUGGCUGGACUCCUCCCCAAGGUAGGGUUUACCCUCACAUAAAAUUGCCAACCAGGGCCCACUUGGGUAUAGAACUAAUUUAGCCUCCUGUACACUUGAUGAAUGAAGAAUUUCCUCUGGGGACUAAAUUAUAGGGCUUGUUGGAGUUGCUCUUUCGUGAUCUGUUAUUUGGAGGUAAUUUUCCAAAAGGGCUGGAACACAUGGCCAUGAGCUAGAAUAGGAUUCACCAUGAACAGCUGCCACGCGCUGGCCGGCACAUCCCAGUGCCCUUGUCCUCUCCCCCAGCCUCCCCUGCCACUACCCCUGCUUCCCGAGAGAGGAGGUCCAGACAACAGGGCUGGACUUAACGUUAGAUCUUUACUUUCCUUCUUAAUUAAACCACUAGAAUGGAAUCUGCCCACCUUUUUCUGCACCCAGGUUUCCAGAAAUGUAACAUCUUGUCGUAACACGUUUCAAAACAGAUGACAGGCCUUCCCCUCAUCCUCCAAUGUGGCUGAUUACAAGCUUCUGUCAAAUUCCACCAACCCCCACCAACCCACCCCAGUUGGCUGGAAGAUAAGCUUCUGAUCUUCCCUUGGCUUUUUGAACUGUUGGAAGCUGUGUAAACACAAGCUGCAGGUUAGUCAGAUUCUAUUUGACCCACGGCCUGCUGAGUGCAAAGAGAUUACAUUUGAACACUCCCUUGUCUAAUUAAGCAAUGGUGACCUAUUGCGGGGUGCUUGCUGAUGAGGUCAAAUAGCAAGGGUUUUUAGGCUGACCUGUUGCAGCUGGUCAUUUGCUGAUAAAUAAGAAACAGCUAGUUUUUAGUGAGCCAACUUCCCGACAGAGCCUUCCUUUCAUAAAGCACUCUAAUUUGGUUAUUUCUCUGAAUUUCUUAAGUGAGUUUCAGUACUUUAGAAAAAUUUUUAGUACUGAGAGUAACAGACAUUUGUCCUAUGAUGGAAACCCUUCUUCGCACAGCAGUGCCCCUUCAAAGGAUCUACAAACUGUUAUGCUGUGCCUCUAGAUCUUUUUAGACCACCAACUUCUUCAAAAUUGUGAAAGAUGAAGGUCAUUUUGAAUGUUGACAUUUGGAUGGGAUAUGAUGGUGAUAGUGGGACAGGAAGCCCCAAGAAAUAGAUCUCAAGACCUUGACCUAGCUACAUAAUCAGAAUCAUUUAUUGAGCAUCUGCUCUGUAGUAGACGCUGUUGUAGGAUCUUUUAAUCUUUAUCUCCACUCCUUACCAUGAUCGUCACAGCAAGUGCCAUUAUCCUUGUUUCAUUGCUAAGAUUCCUGAAGCAUAAAGAGGUCAGAAACUUUCACAAAGGCUUGCAGUCAUGAAGCGGAAGGUCUGGGAGCUGAUCCAUAAUUCCCAUGGCUUUACGGGUUGUUCAUUUCAGGAAGCUGCCCAAUUUCCUUGUGGAAGAAGUGUCUGAAGGCCACCUAUGGGGAGCAAAAUUUGACGGAUGAAGAUUUUAUCUGUGAAUAAGAAAUAAAAUAAGAAAGUGAUAUCUUCACUUUGUAUCUAAAAUGUUGGAACUGUAGACAUUGAAAAAGUUAUCAAUGAAGCCCUCGUAUUCACCACCAUGUCCCUACAUAGGUUAUCCCUAAACCUCUGUAGAGGGUAUCUGUUUUUUCUGCCAUCAGUCUAUUUCCUGAAAUUCUGGAAAAAAAGUGUACACAGAAUUCCUGCCUCGUCCAAAAUUCAGCACGUGUGUUCUGACAGACGCAGAGUCCCCAGAUGCCUGGCCACUGUGAAUACCUUUGAGCCAAUCAGAAUCAAAUACGUGUGUAUGGAAAGUUCUGCCACAGACACGAUUGCCCUUUCUCUUGGCCUUUAGUUGGGAAUCACAGGCUGGAACUACUCCUGUCAUCUUGCCACCUACCAUAUGUAGCCAUACGGAUGUAUCUGAGAGCUAGAAACUGGGUCCUGGUGAUGUUGGAAUCCUGAUGAAGCUGUGCCUAAUCUCCCUUGCAGUUUACUUAGAAUUUGAGAAUGUUUUAGAUAUUUUCAAAUGAAAAUGCCUGAGUUUAAGUAUUAUUAUCUUGCCAGAUCCAUGCACCCAGCCAAUGAUGAGAUUAGAGUAUAACAACAUCUCCGUGUCUCCAAAGCCAUUGCUUUUCCGUGGAACCAUACUGUUAUCUGAGUUAGAAAGAGGGCUUUGGGAAGGAGAGGACACACAUUUUUAUCAAUGUGUUUUUUUUUUUUUUCCUGUGUGAGAAAGAAUGGAGUAGGACAACUCUAGAAUUACAUCUCUUGGGAAAUCUUUUAACAUGACCCACAAUUCCUUUUUUAACCUUCUUACAGGUUCAUCAUAUCAAAAUUUACAAAUAUGUCUGUCAAUCUCCCACAAGGAAAUGACACAAGCUCUCUAAUGAAAACAUUUUCUGAUGCCUUGGAAUUUUAGUUUUAGACCAUUCUGCACAAUGUCUCACAUACAUUUAUCUGGCUACAUUUUCAGUCAGGGCUGUAUUUUCAGCCUCAGAUGUGAAACAUUUUUCGUACCCCUUAAAAACUGUAGCAAGGUCACAAAACUCAUGAAUUUAUUGUAAUAAUAAAAAAUGUUUUGCCCCCUGUUUUUAUCAGCGGGCCUAGUUUCUAACAUUACAGACGUGAAUUUUUGCCCUCCUUGGAAAUUCUUGCCAAUUUCUUUGUCAUCCACCUUCAAUUAUUGGUUCACAAACUAGAUACAGGACUAACAGAGGCCACAUCACCUCUGGAUAUAAAAGAAAGUUCAUUUCCCUUUCAUGUUAUACUUCUUUUCAGGGUGAGAGAGGAAAUGUACUAAAAGUACUUAGCUCUCUUAGAGAUAGCUAGUUUUUCAACCAAAUAAUAAUAAUAAUAAUAAUCAAACAAAACCAUUUUGUGUCUAUUGGGAUCUUUGGAUGUUUGAUAGCCUCAUAUACAUAUCCAACCUAAUAAAAAUUUAUCUUAUUUGUACAGGAUUUCAGCAUUUACAGAAAACUUUCACGAAAUUUAUCUCAUUUAUUUCUCUUUUCAAUCCUAUAGUGUUGAUAUUGUUAUUAUUCCUAUUUUAGAGAUUAAUAUUAGGAGACUCAGGGAUUAAGUGAUUUGUUCAAAACUUUUCAACCUCUUCAGUGGUAGGACUGUAUUUUACACUCAAAUGUUCUGAUUAGUGUUCAGACAUUUCAUGGUUACAAAUAGCUUAUUCGGUACCUGGAUAGUUUUGGAGAGGAGAAGUCGAAGUUAGAAUGCCUCCAUGUUGCUUCUUUUCUCUAGGUUAAAGUGAGUGGAUUUUCUAAAUGUCUGAGAACAGAUUGUAGUGUUUCCUGUUUAUAGUGAUCCCUUUGGGGAACCACAGAAAUUCUGAUUUUCCUGACCAUUUGUCCUCCAUCAGGCCCAGAUGUUUAAAGGACGUUAUUUUUAUGUGCCAAUGAUUGCAGUAUUUGCAUGUGCAAAUCAUGUAAUUACUUAACUACCCAAAUUGUGCAUGCAACUAAACUUAAUUAUGAACUUAGAACAUUGCCUUAAGCAUCUGACCCUGGAAAAAUUAUGGUGGCAGAAAAUGAGUGUUAGAGUGGAAAUUUCUUGCAAGGCUGAUUUCGUUGUUGUCAUUGUUUCAUGGAAAUCUAUGUUAAGUUGAUUAAGUUGCUUUCUUUACCUCAGUUGGAACAUCUGAGAAUGAAAACAGUGCUUGUACUACCUACUUUCACUGGGUCAUGAGGAGAAAAUUGAGACCAUGCAUAAAAGUGAUUUGGAAAAAAAUUAUAAAACAUGAAAAAAGGUAUUCUUUUUUUUUUUUUGAGACAGGAUCUCACUCUGUUGCCCAGGCUGGAGUGCAAUGGGAUGACCACUGCUUACUGCAGCCUCGACUUCCUGGGCUUAAGUGAUUCUCCCACCUCAAACACCUGAGUAGCUAGAACUAUAGAUUCACACCACCAUGCCCGGCUAAUUUAAAAAAAAAUGUAGAGUCAAGGUCUGGCUAUGUUGCCAAGGCUGGUCUUGAACUCCUGAGCUCAAGAGAUCCUCCUGCCUCAGCCUCCAAAUGUGUUAGAAUUACAGGCAUGAGCCACAGUGCCUGGCCAAAAAAGGAAAUAUUAUUUUUGAAUGGCCUCAUUAAACUCCAUUUUUGAAAUAUGUAGAAAUUAACAUUUUAUAUGAAUCUUUUGUUCAUCUACCCAAAUACUAUACGUCAUACUACGAUAAAAUUUGAAAAAUAAAAUUGUAAAAAAAAAAGGAAUAUUAUUGUUAUUUAUCUUUAGGCUGCAUAACAAUUUCUCAUUUCCCUCUUCUAACAAUACUAUGUGGCAUAUAGAGAAGGAAAAGUUAGCUACAUACAGUUCACAUAUAUGGAAACUGAAGCUCAGUUCAUUUAAAGGACUUAACGUUAGUUACAUGAGAGUUUAAGAGGCAGAUUGAUAAUUUAGCACCAGGUUGUGUGACUCCAAUGUCAAUAACUUAGACAUUCCUGAUAAAGAGACCAUGUUCUUUGCCAUCAGUAGUUAUAGACAUGUUUGAGUCAGCCACUCAAUGUAUUUAAAAAUGUAUACUUUCCAAUAAUUUAAGGAAUGUAAUACCUUGUCUUGAAUUAACUUGCAGAUUACGAUUGCAUUCUAUGUAAGAAAAGGACUUGCUAAGAAAACUAAUGAUAUACUUAAGAAGGCGGAGCCUCUUAAGACUUACUUAAGAGAACAAAUUCGAUGGGUUGUGAUUGUACUUUACCCAUUUGUUGAAACAGAUACAAAGGGUACAGGCCAGAUCCAAUUCAGUGAGCAGUUUUAGAUUAGGUUCCUUUUCCAUUGAGAUAAAAGUCACAUUACUCUCCAAGUUUUCUAUUAUUUGCCUAACCUUUCCACCCAAUUGCUUAUUACAGUGAAGUCAUUAUUGUAGUCAUUAGAGUAUUAUCGGAUAAAAGCAUGCAUACAUUUACAUAGUUCUUCCAAUAAUAUCUCAUUGGGUUUCCAAGCCUUUGAGCAACUUUGAAGGUUCUAAAGUGCUUGAAAGAUGGAAAGGUUUUGCAGUCUCUAGAUCCAAAUGAUGUUUUGAAGGUGAUUCAAGAGUAUGUGGCAAGACUGGAAUAUUUGUCCUUGAGUCUGACUCUACAUUCUGAUCUCUAACCACGGGGUGUUGCCCUCUCCCUCUGUGAGCACGGAUGUCUCCAGACAGAAAAAAACCAGAGAUAUCUUGGACAUUAAAUAAGGGUGUUUCAAAGAAUAUGGGCCACUAAGUCAUCUAUACCCAAUGACUUGGCAGGAAGUAGAAUCAUCACCUCCUUUUAGAGUCAUGAUAUGUCUGAAAUUGUGUUUAUUCUGGUAAAAUAAACAGUCAUUAGCAUGAUUCACACUUUUUCCAGCUUUAGCAAAGAACAGAUAAAUUAUCUACUAUUAUCCUCCUCUACCUUUUACCUCAUUUUUGAGAAAUCAAAUGUGUUUAUAUGAAUAGCUACCAUUUCUUAAGACUUUACCUAGUGCCUGUCCUCUUGCUAAACACAAAUCUAUGCCUUAUCUAAGCCUCCACAAUAGCCCAUUAUGAGUUAGGCAUUAUUCUUUUCCUAUGUUUACAGAUAAGGAAGUGGAGGUUUAAGAGGCUUAAGUAACUUGCCUAACCUAACAUUGUUUGGCUUUUAUUUGUAAGUACUUCUUUCAGUUACCUCUGCACUCUGAAAAUGCUUCAAUGAUGACUCCAAGACAGACAUGCCAAUGACAAACAUACUGAUACUUAAAUAGAUUUUCUUCUGUCUCCAUAUGUGCAUCAGAUGAAGACAUGAAGCUACAGGUUCAGCUCUUAUUGAAAAAUUGCAUUCGUGCCUUGAGUUUCUCCAUUGAAUAAUGUAGCAUUGAUAUAUUAAUUAAAAAUAAUUUGUGACAUUUUCUCAUCACCUAUGAGAUAUCACUUUGAAGGCACAGUUGUGAUAAUAAAAAGAAUGCUUUAAAGUAAAUUUGAAUUCCUUAGGAGGUAAGCUUUAUUUUCAAAUCUUUCUGAGUAAGAUUAUAGCAAGAGGCUGAAGAAAACUUCUAGCAUAGUGAGGUGGGUACACUAUGGAAGACUUUCUUAAACAUCCAGUGUCCCUGUCAAUUAAUUGUAGAUAGUGUAAGUUCAAUUUGUCUACAGAAUGAAUUUCAUCUUACUUGACAAGACACCAAGUUCUUCUUCCUUCCCUCAUAUUUAGAGGUUCUUAUUAGCUUAGAUCAGUGUAACAGACACUUACAGUCACCUGCUAGGCUGCAGCUAUGUGUUGGGGACUGAGGAUAUAAAGCUGAUGGAACAGUCCAACAGGGAGAGACAUAAACAUAGGGGGUAGAUGGAAUUUCAGAGCUAGCACUAAGAAAAGGCUCUCAGGCCAGAUUCUCCAGCUGGGGCCAGGUAAAGGAACUUCAUCCUAAAUCUGUUUCAUAUAAGCACCUCGAUUUUUCUAGUUUGGGGUUUCUGCCCUUAAUUUUUACAUAAUAGCUUGUUGAUGCAAAUAAAGAGGCAAAGGUUCUUCCUCAUUUCCCUCUGGGAUCAAUGGUGGAAGGUUGGUCGAUGUGAUGCCAGUGACCUGUGGUAGUAGCACAGGGGUCUUGACCAGCUCUAACAUGCUAGUAAAGUCCUGACAAGUUCAUCGUUGACCAGAAAAAAUAAUCUAGAGCAACAGUAGCCACUAGCCACAGUCGCCUAUUGAAAACCUGAAAGGAGGCUGGCGUGAGUUGAAAUUUACUGUCAAUAUAAAAUGCACAUUGGAGUUCAAAGACUUAAUAUGAGGAAAUAAUGUAAAAUUUAUAUGUAACAUUUUUAUGCUGAAUACUUCAUGAAAUAAUAAUAUAUUGGAUACGUUGUUUUAAAUAAAAUAUACUCUUGAAUUUAAUCUCAUUUGUUUCUUGCUCCUUUUCUUAAUGUGACUAUUAGAACAUUUAAAAUUACACAAAUGGCUCAUAUUAUAUUUCUACUGAAUAGUGCUGGUCUAGAGCCUUCCUACUCUCAUUGAUGUAACCCUUUUCUAAGACAUUUGCUUGGGAGAGAGAAUUUAUCUUUUAUGUUAAAUGGCCUCCCAAAUAGCAGAGAAACAUUCUGAACCAACACUAUUUUUCUCUUCCUG